rnacentral:sRNA from 17 species
CGUUGUCUUCGACAACACCCGAUGCUGCCAUGACCUGUAAGGUAGCACUGUACAGUGGUCAAACCCCAGUUGCCUGGACCUGAAAUGCAACACUUUUAGAGUGGUAAC